rnacentral:rRNA from 1 species
AAACCAAGAAAUUUAGUCAUUCUUUCGCGGUAAAAAGACAGUUAAGUAAAAGUAAAAAGAACCAUAGGACCUUUAGUAGAGGAGUAAAAUCUAAAUACUGGAAGUUAUACUAGAUGUGGUUUGUUUUAGAUACUGAAUCUGUGACAACUUUAAGGGAAACUGGGAUUGGAUACCCCAUUAUUUUUAGUAGUAAAAUUGAUAUAAUGUUUACCAGAGUACUACGAACACAAAAGUUUAAAACUCAAAGGGCUUGGCGGUGUUUUAGACCUCUCAGGGGAACCUGUCUCGUAAUCGACAAUCCACGUUAAACCUGACCUUCUAUGGCAGUCAGCCUGUAUACCGUUGUCGUCAGGUAACUUUUUAAAAUACAACAGUUAGCUUGAUAAUUUUAUUAAUUAAGACGUCAGAUCAAGGUGCAGCUAAUAAGAAGGGGAGGAUGGGUUACAAUUAUAUAUUUAUAAUCACGGAAGGCAUUUAGAAUAGAAUGACCAAAAGGAGGACUUGAAAGUAAUUUUAGUUAUAUAAAUAAAAUGAAUAAGGCUCUGAAACGUG